CUACACCUGUACAGAAACACAACAGAGAAUUUCCUACAGUUUUUACAGGUAAACUAAGCUGCAGGUGGUACCGGCUCACCUGCAGGUACCGGCUCACCUGCAGGUACCGGCUCACCUGCAAGUACCGGCUCACCUGCAGGU